UUGGUGGGGUAAAGGCCUACCAAGACAAUGAUGCAUAGCCGAGUUGAGAGACUGAUCGGCCACAUUGGGACUGAGACACGGCCCAAACUCCUACGGGAGGCUGCAGUAGGGAAUCUUCCACAAUGGGCGAAAGCCUGAUGGAGCAACGCCGCGUGUGUGAUGAAGGCUUUCGGGUCGUAAAGCACUGUUGUAUGGGAAGAACAGCUAGAAUAGGAAAUGAUUUUAGUUUGACGGUACCAUACCAGAAAGGGACGGCUAAAUACGUGCCAGCAGCCGCGGUAAUACGUAUGUCCCGAGCGUUAUCCGGAUUUAUUGGGCGUAAAGCGAGCGCAGACGGUUUAUUAAGUCUGAUGUGAAAGCCCGGAGCUCAACUCCGGAAUGGCAUUGGAAACUGGUUAACUUGAGUGCAGUAGAGGUAAGUGGAACUCCAUGUGUAGCGGUGGAAUGCGUAGAUAUAUGGAAGAACACCAGUGGCGAAGGCGGCUUACUGGACUGCAACUGACGUUGAGGCUCGAAAGUGUGGGUAGCAAACAGGAUUAGAUACCCUGGUAGUCCACACCGUAAACGAUGAACACUAGGUGUUAGGAGGUUUCCGCCUCUUAGUGCCGAAGCUAACGCAUUAAGUGUUCCGCCUGGGGAGUACGACCGCAAGGUUGAAACUCAAAGGAAUUGACGGGGACCCGCACAAGCGGUGGAGCAUGUGGUUUAAUUCGAAGCAACGCGAAGAACCUUACCAGGUCUUGACAUCCUUUGAAGCUUUUAGAGAUAGAAGUGUUCUCUUCGGAGACAAAGUGACAGGUGGUGCAUGGUCGUCGUCAGCUCGUGUCGUGAGAUGUUGGGUUAAGUCCCGCAACGAGCGCAACCCUUAUUGUUAGUUGCCAGCAUUCAGAUGGGCACUCUAGCGAGACUGCCGGUGACAAACCGGAGGAAGGCGGGGACGACGUCAGAUCAUCAUGCCCCUUAUGACCUGGGCUACACACGUGCUACAAUGGCGUAUACAACGAGUUGCCAACCCGCGAGGGUGAGCUAAUCUCUUAAAGUACGUCUCAGUUCGGAUUGUAGUCUGCAACUCGACUACAUGAAGUCGGAAUCGCUAGUAAUCGCGGAUCAGCACGCCGCGGUGAAUACGUUCCCGGGUCUUGUACACACCGCCCGUCACACCAUGGGAGUUUGUAAUGCCCAAAGCCGGUGGCCUAACCUUUUAGGAAGGAGCCGUCUAAGCAGACAGUUUGG
rnacentral:rRNA from 1 species